CCACUGUUCUAGAAGAACCUGGGGCUAUUGGGGUAUCUCUACAGAGCUCUGGAACUGCCUUGAAGAAGCUCCAGAGAGAGGUCCUAGCUUGUCUUUUCUGUUCUUCCCCUGUGCUGUGUGACAUUGAAUGAGUCCUCUCCCCACUCUGGACCUUCAAGUCUCGUCUGCAGGAGGCAGCCUGGAGGAUAGCGCUCAUCAAGAACUCUGGAUACAAAGGAACCGCAGAGGUCAAGCAUCUGCCCGCAUCCAAACCCUUCCUCACACCUGAAAUCAAGACCCCUUUUCCUGUGUGCCAAGCCCAAGGUGAUCUGGUCUCAACUACAAGGGCAGGAUGCUUGCUGCCCACGCAGCCUGCAUGGACGCAUGGUAGCUUUCCCUAAGCCCAGCUUCUUCCAGAAAGACAGAGACCACUGGAGACUCACCAUGCUCCCUUAGCAUGGAUUCCCUGAGAGUGCUCUGUCUGAGUCUAGUCUGCAAGAAGAGGGCCCCUCAUAUCUUCCUUGGGCAUCUUUUGGACCUGAUGUUCUUGGGAUGAGCAGGACAAGGGACCAAGCAUCACCCUUGACUUGCAUCACAGCUGGUACCAAGAUACUCAUCCCUGCCCCUUCUGCAGCCAUUGUGCUGGGGAGCAGUAGGGUCUAGAAACAUCUUCCCCACUUGCACUGGAUACUGCCAUGGCCUCUCCCUGCUCUGGAGACACACGGCCCUCAGGAAGCACUGAAAGAAGUAAUGAGACAGAGCGGCAAGACACUUGACAGCAGCCAGCCCUCCCAGCCUGAUGGCAUUCCCUGCCCUGUCCAGCAU
rnacentral:lncRNA from 1 species